CCUACGGGAGGCAGCAGUGAGGAAUAUUGGUCAAUGGGCGCGAGCCUGAACCAGCCAAGUAGCGUGCAGGAUGACUGCCCUACGGGUUGUAAACUUCUUUUAUAAGGGAAUAAAGUGCGGCACGUGUGCCUUUUUGUAUGUACUUUAUGAAUAAGGAUCGGCUAACUCCGUGCCAGCAGCCGCGGUAAUACGGAGGAUCCGAGCGUUAUCCGGAUUUAUUGGGUUUAAAGGGAGCGUAGAGGGUUUGUUAAGUCAGUUGUGAAAGUUUGCGGCUCAACCGUAAAAUUGCACUUGAUACUGGCAGUCUAGAGUAUAGUUGAGGUAGGCGGAAUUCGUGGUGUAGCGGUGAAAUGCUUAGAUAUCACGAAGAACUCCGAUUGCGAAGGCAGCUUACUAAACUGCCACUGACAUUGAUGCUCGAAAGUGUGGGUAUCAAACAGGAUUAGAUACCCGUGUAGUC
rnacentral:rRNA from 1 species